rnacentral:piRNA from 1 species
UUGGGAUCAAAUGUGAGCCUAUGGAUC